AGUGGGGGCAUUAAUGUGGUGGAACAUGGUUCAGGAAACACUCGGUUGGGCUUGAAACUGCAAUUUGUGGCCUGCCCACUCCAAGUUGGGAGUUGAUUAAUGGGGCCUGAGCGAAAGGCUGGCUUAACAGAGCAGCGACUACCCUCAUAAUUAUUUGUAUGAGAUGCAAAUUGCAAUAAUUUGAUUAAGGAAACAUUAUAAUCAUGUGGACAUUUCAACAACCCUUUGGCUUUGGCAUAGUU
rnacentral:lncRNA from 1 species